rnacentral:rRNA from 1 species
AUUGAACGCUGGCGGCAGGCCUAACACAUGCAAGUCGAACGGUAACAGGAAACAGCUUGCUGUUUCGCUGACGAGUGGCGGACGGGUGAGUAAUGUCUGGGAAACUGCCUGAUGGAGGGGGAUAACUACUGGAAACGGUAGCUAAUACCGCAUAACGUCGCAAGACCAAAGAGGGGGACCUUCGGGCCUCUUGCCAUCGGAUGUGCCCAGAUGGGAUUAGCUAGUAGGUGGGGUAACGGCUCACCUAGGCGACGAUCCCUAGCUGGUCUGAGAGGAUGACCAGCCACACUGGAACUGAGACACGGUCCAGACUCCUACGGGAGGCAGCAGUGGGGAAUAUUGCUCAAUGGGCGCAAGCCUGAUGCAGCCAUGCCGCGUGUAUGAAGAAGGCCUUCGGGUUGUAAAGUACUUUCAGCGGGGAUGAAGGGAGUAAAGUUAAUACCUUUGCUCAUUGACGUUACCCGCAGAAGAAGCACCGGCUAACUCCGUG